AUGUGUAUAAGAGAUCGAUGGGGGGACGCAGUAGGAUAGGCGAAGCGUGCUGUUGGAGUGCACGUCCAAGCAGUAAGGCUGAGUGUUAGGCAAAUCCGGCACUCAUAAGGCUGAGCUGUGAUGGGGAGAGGAAAUUGUUUCCUCGAGUCGUUGAUUUCACACUGCCGAGAAAAGCCUCUAGAUAGAUAACAGGUGCCCGUACCGCAAACCGACACAGGUAGUCAAGAUGAGAAUUCUAAGGUGAGCGAGCGAACUCUCGUUAAGGAACUCGGCAAAAUGACCCCGUAACUUCGGGAGAAGGGGUGCUCUUUAGGGUUCACGCCCAGAAGAGCCGCAGUGAAUAGGCCCAAGCGACUGUUUAUCAAAAACACAGGUCUCUGCUAAACCGUAAGGUGAUGUAUAGGGGCUGACGCCUGCCCGGUGCUGGAAGGUUAAGAGGAGUGGUUAGCUUCUGCGAAGCUACGAAUCGAAGCCCCAGUAAACGGCGGCCGUAACUAUAACGGUCCUAAGGUAGCGAAAUUCCUUGUCGGGUAAGUUCCGACCCGCACGAAAGGCGUAACGAUUUGGGCACUGUCUCAACGAGAGACUCGGUGAAAUCAUAGUACCUGUGAAGAUGCAGGUUACCCGCGACAGGACGGAAAGACCCCGUGGAGCUUUACUGUAGCCUGAUAUUGAAAUUCGGCACAGCUUGUACAGGAUAGGUAGGAGCCUUUGAAACGUGAGCGCUAGCUUACGUGGAGGCGUUGGUGGGAUACUACCCUAGCUGUGUUGGCUUUCUAACCCGCACCACUUAUCGUGGUGGGAGACAGUGUCAGGCGGGCAGUUUGACUGGGGCGGUCGCCUCCUAAAAGGUAACGGAGGCGCUCAAAGGUUCCCUCAGAAUGGUUGGAAAUCAUUCAUAGAGUGUAAAGGCAUAAGGGAGCUUGACUGCGAGACCUACAAGUCGAGCAGGGUCGAAAGACGGACUUAGUGAUCCGGUGGUUCCGCAUGGAAGGGCCAUCGCUCAACGGAUAAAAGCUACCCCGGGGAUAACAGGCUUAUCUCCCCCAAGAGUUCACAUCGACGGGGAGGUUUGGCACCUCGAUGUCGGCUCAUCGCAUCCUGGGGCUGUAGUCGGUCCCAAGGGUUGGGCUGUUCGCCCAUUAAAGCGGUACGCGAGCUGGGUUCAGAACGUCGUGAGACAGUUCGGUCCCUAUCCGUCGUGGGCGUAGGAAAUUUGAGAGGAGCUGUCCUUAGUACGAGAGGACCGGGAUGGACAUACCUCUGGUGUACCAGUUGUCGUGCCAACGGCAUAGCUGGGUAGCUAUGUAUGGACGGGAUAAGUGCUGAAAGCAUCUAAGCAUGAAGCCCCCCUCAAGAUGAGAUUUCCCAACUUCGGUUAUAAGAUCCCUCGAAGAUGACGAGGUUAAUAGGUUCGAGGUGGAAGCGUGGUGACACGUGGAGCUGACGAAUACUAAUCGAUCGAAGACUUAAUCAA
rnacentral:rRNA from 1 species